rnacentral:tRNA from 1 species
GUGGGUACAGCUCAGUGGAAGAGUGCAUGCUUAGCAUGUAUGAGAUCCUGGGUUCAAUCCCCAGUAUCUCCA